rnacentral:rRNA from 1 species
UGGGGAAUAUUGGACAAUGGGCGAAAGCCUGAUCCAGCCAUGCCGCGUGUGUGAAGAAGGUCUUCGGAUUGUACAGCACUUUAAGUUGGGAGGAAGGGCAGUAAGCGAAUACCUUGCUGUUUUGACGUUACCGACAGAAUAAGCACCGGCUAACUCUGUGCCAGCAGCCGCGGUAAUACAGAGGGUGCAAGCGUUAAUCGGAAUUACUGGGCGUAAAGCGCGCGUAGGUGGUUCGUUAAGUUGACUGUGAAAGCCCCGAGCUCAAACUGGGGACUGCAUCCAAAACUAGCGAGCUGGGGUAGGGCGGAGGGUGGUGGAAUUUCCUGUGUAGCGGUGAAAUGCGUAGAUAUAGGAAGGAACACCAGUGGCGAAGGCGACCACCUGGGCUCAUACUGACACUGAGGUGCGAAAGCGUGGGGAGCAAACAAG